GAAAGCAUCUAAGCACGAAACUUGCCCCGAGAUGAGUUCUCCCUGAGACUUAGAGUCUCUGAAGGAACGUUGAAGACGACGACGUUGAUAGGCCGGGUGUGUAAGCGCAGCGAUGCGUUGAGCUAACCGGUACUAAUGAACCGUGAGGCUUAACCUUAC
rnacentral:rRNA from 1 species